GUCAGGUACCCCAUGCCUGAAAGGGCAGGGGCUUGCGUUAGCAAGCCUGGACCUGUUCAGAUUCAGCCAUGAAUCCUUUGUUUUGGCAGAGGGUUAUCGGGCUACGAUAGUCGGGAAGCGUUGAAGUCCUACCUACGGGUGCGUGCCAGCCUGUAGCUCUAGA
rnacentral:sRNA from 21 species